rnacentral:rRNA from 1 species
CCUACGGGGGGCAGCAGUGAGGAAUAUUGGUCAAUGGACGAGAGUCUGAACCAGCCAAGUAGCGUGAAGGAUGACUGCCCUAUGGGUUGUAAACUUCUUUUAUAUGGGAAUAAAAUGUUCCACGUGUGGGAUUUUGUAUGUACCAUAUGAAUAAGGAUCGGCUAACUCCGUGCCAGCAGCCGCGGUAAUACGGAGGAUCCGAGCGUUAUCCGGAUUUAUUGGGUUUAAAGGGAGCUUAGGUGGAUUGUUAAGUCAGUUGUGAAAGUUUGCGGCUCAACCGUAAAAUUGCAGUUGAAACUGGCAGUCUUGAGUACAGUAGAGGUGGGCGGAAUUCGUGGUGUAGCGGUGAAAUGCUUAGAUAUCACGAAGAACUCCGAUUGCGAAGGCAGUUCACUGGACUGCAACUGACACUGAGGCUCGAAAGUGUGGGUAUCAAACAGGAUUAGAUACCCCAGUAGUC